GACGAACGCUGGCGGCGUGCUUAACACAUGCAAGUCGAACGGAAAGGCCCUGCUUUUGUGGGGUGCUCGAGUGGCGAACGGGUGAGUAAAACGUGAGUAACCUGCCCUUGACUUUGGGAUAACUUCAGGAAACUGGGGCUAAUACCGGAUAGGAGCUCCUGCUGCGUGGUGGGGGUUGGAAAGUUUCGGCGGUUGGGGAUGGAAUGGCGGCUUAUCAGCUUGUUGGUGGGGUAGUGGCUUACCAAGGUUUUGACGGGUAGUCGGCCUGAGAGGUGGACCGGCCACAUGGGGACUGAGAGACGGCGCAGACGCCUACGGGAGGCAGCAGUGGGGAAUAUUGCACAGUGAGCCGAAGCCUGAUGCAGCAGCGCCGCGUUCGUGAUGACGUCCUUCUGGGUGUAAACCUCUUUCUCCGGUGACGAAGCGUGAGUGACGGUAAUUAGUAAGGAAGCACCGGCUAACUACGUG
rnacentral:rRNA from 1 species